GUGGGGUGUUUCCUCUCCCCCACUCUGUUUCCCUUUCUUUUUUGUCCCUUCUCUCCAGGGCUCCUGAUUCUUUUCAGCCUGACACUCCUUCCAGUUAACUGCAAGGUGGUGCACCUGAGUCCGCUGGUGUCCUGCCUGGUGACCUCCUACCUGUGCUGGGACGCCAGCAACCUGAUGCUGCCUGCCGGAGCCGUGUCCUACCUAAACCGAGUGGGCAUGUGGAGCAGAGGGCAGCCCUUGAACGUGCAGCAGCUGAGCUAUGGCGGGUGGGCCUUGCAGCAGGGCACUGAGAGGUGCACAUCCAAACAGAACUCAGACACAGACUCUGAGCAUAGCCUGGGCCUGCCGAUUUCAUGCACCCCCGAGGACGAGACCACAAGCCCCUUCAAGGAAUAGCCCCCGAGCUCCUCAGGACACUGACCGGCAGCCCUGGCCAGAUGCCAGGCCAACCCCUUCAGCAUGGCCAUGCCCCUGAUAUUAGACCUCCCUUGAGGCCCCACCUCUUGAGAUCAGGCCACGCCCUACGAGGGGACCGGUAGCAAACUCUGACCCUCUCUCUAGGACCCGUCCUUUGCUGCUUUGUUCCUGCC